AACGUAGGUCCCGAGCGUUAUCCGGAUUUACUGGGCGUAAAGCGUGUUCAGGCGGUCUAGCAAGUCGGGCAUGAAAUCUCUCGGCUCAACCGGGAGGGGUUGUCCGAUACUGCUGGGCUUGAGGGCAGCAGAGGGUGGUGGAAUUCCGGGUGUAGUGGUGAAAUGCGUAGAUAUCCGGAGGAACACCAGUGGCGAAGGCGGCCACCUGGGCUGUACCUGACGCUCAAACACGAAAGCUGGGGGAGCGAACGGG
rnacentral:rRNA from 1 species